rnacentral:lncRNA from 1 species
AGUUGAAGGUGGAAUCAUCAGAGGUAAAGCCUUCGAAGUUGUUGGAACCAAUGGUGACUGCGGCUUCAAAGAGACAUGUCAGAUUUUGAAGGAAGAUAAAAGAAAGUUGUCUCUAAAUAGUGAGGAGGUUUAGGAGUCUGUGGAAGCUCAAAAGAAUGGAUUUCACCUCUUAAGGAAUGGAGGUGAGAGAAGUUCAAUCUAAUAG